AUAACCAUGGCAAUCAUCGUCAUCAUCAAGAACAUUUUGCUGAUGAGAGGGCUGUUAAACUAUAUCUGUCUAACAAAAGCAUAGGAAACUUCAUUGGCUAAAUUGAACUUAAGAGAAAAGAGAAUAACCACCCUCAGAAAAUCACUACCUUUCUCGAGUUCAAUAAAAUGCCUCAUUUACUGAACACAGAGAUAUACUUGGAGGCUCAGAUUUGCCUUUUGUCAUUCAAAAAGCUAAACAAUGGACAUGGGCGCAUGGCUGCAAGCAUUAAUAGUCCAGUAAGAUAGUUCCCAUAUCUCACGGAG
rnacentral:misc_RNA from 1 species